AACGCACAUUGCGCCUUCUGGUAUUCCGGGAGGCACACCUGUUCGAGCGCCGUUUCAAUACUAAGGCUUUAGCGUUUGUUCGCUAUCGUAAGUCCUUGCGAUGAUGGAUCCCGCAUUGGGACCGUCGAAACACCUCAACGCCGACGUCGGAUGGCAUACGCAGCGUAAUGCGGUCAAUGUCAGUUCUUUGACGAGCGGUGGUUAAUCAUCAAACAGUUUGGCCUCGGAUCAGGUGGGGAUACCCGCUGAACUUAA
rnacentral:misc_RNA from 1 species